rnacentral:miRNA from 1 species
GGUACGCGAGGGAGCACUCAAUGCUUCCUCUUCAGCUCCCUCGCGCACCGCACUGAUACCGGAGCCGGAAGAUGACGUCAUCUUCCGGCGCCGGCAUCCCCACGCGGCGCGCGAGGGAGCUGAAGAGGAAGCACUGAGUGCUCCCUCGCGUACC